rnacentral:lncRNA from 1 species
UGCAUGGGAGGUCUUUAAUAUUUUGCUUAGUCUCUUUGUCCUUAGAAGAGAAAGUUUUUGAAAAUACAUAUUCAAGGAGGAAUCCUCUCGAACAAGGGGGAAUGAUGUGAUAAUAACUAAGAAAAAGGCCAAUAAUGAUCAGUAGGAUUCUUUGAUCAAUGAAGGGCGAAAAAGACUAAACAACAGUAAAGUUCUUGGACAUAUCCGCAAGUAUUCUCGAAUA